rnacentral:rRNA from 1 species
CCUGAACGCUGGCGGCGUGGCUAAGACAUGCAAGUCGCACGGUGUAGCAAUACACAGUGGCGAACGGGAGAGUAAUGAAUCGGUAACGUACCCCGGACUCUGGGAUAGCUAUCCGAAAGGGUAGGUAAUACCAGUAUAAUAUAACCUGCAGGCAUCUGCGGGUUCUCAAAGGUCCGCCGGUCUGGGAGCGGCCGAUUUCGUAUCAGCUAGUUGGUGAGGUAACGGCUCACCAAGGCGACGACGCGUAGCCGGACUGAGAGGUUGGCCGGCCUCAUUGGGACUGAGACACUGCCCAGACUCCUACGGGGGGCUGCAGUAACGAAUCUUCCGCAAUGCACGAAAGUGUGACGGAGCGACGCCGCGUGUGGGACGAAGUCCUUCGGU